ACCUGUCUAGCUCAGUCAGUAAUGUACAAGGCUCUUACCUUGUGGUUGUGGGUUCGAGUCACACGGUGGUUG
rnacentral:tRNA from 7 species